AGAUGAUGGAUUUGCAUGUGCUUCUAUGAAGAAAUGCCACGUGUCUCUACUGGUCCAAGAACGAACAUGCCCAGACUACUGCCACCUUAGGGGACUAGGGCUUGAUGACAGCUCUUCCCGGGGAAUCAGGCGUGGUCUGACCCAGGAACAGGAAGCACAUCGUCACCAAUGACAUCAUGACAGCAAGAGAGCACAGCCCUCGCCAUGGCACCAGGGCCCGUGCGAUGCAGCGGGCUUCUACCGUCGAUGUGGCAGCCGACAUGCUUGGCCUCUCUCUGGCAGGAAGUAUACAGGAUCCAGACGAGCCCAUUUUAGAAUUCAGCUUAGCUUGCAGUGAGCUGCAUACACCGUCGCUAGAUCGAAAACCAAAUAGCUUUGUAGCAGUGAGUGUGACCACCCCACCCCAGGCGUUCUGGACGAAACACGCGCAGACGGAGAUCAUUGAGGGAACCAACGAUCCUAUAUUUCUAAGCAGUAUUGCCUUCUUUCAAGACUCUCUUAUCAAUCAGAUGACACAGAUCAAGCUCUCCGUGUAUGAUGUCAAGGAUAGAUCUCAGGGAACAAUGUACUUGCUGGGCUCUGGAACAUUUGUCGUCAAAGAUCUGCUCCAGGACAGGCGUCAUAGGUUGUAUUUAACACUAAGGUCUGCGGAGAGCGACCGCGUGGGCAACAUCACCGUGAUGGGCUGGCAGAUGGAGGAGAAGUCAGACCAGCGGCCCCCCGUGACCCGGUCUCUGGACACCGUCAACGGGAGGAUGGUUCUGCCUGUUGACGAGAGCUUGACCGAGGCCUUGGGAAUCCGAUCCAAAUACGCUUCGUUGCGAAAAGACACUUUACUGAAAUCGGUGUUCGGCGGUGCCGUCUGCCGCAUGUACCGGUUCCCGACCACCGAGGGCAACCACCUGCGGAUUCUGGAGCAGAUGGCAGAGAGCGUGCUGUCCCUGCACGUGCCCCGGCAGUUCGUGAAGCUCCUGCUGGAGGAGGACGCGGCCAGAGUGUGUGAACUGGAGGAGCUGGGGGAACUGUCCCCUUGCUGGGAGAGCCUCCGGCGCCAGAUCGUCACUCAGUACCAGACCAUCAUCCUCACGUACCAGGAGAACCUGACCGACCUCCAUCAGUACAAAGGUCCCUCGUUCAAGGCAAGCAGUUUGAAAGCAGAUAAAAAGUUAGAAUUUGUUCCCACAAACUUACACAUACAGAGGAUGAGAGUUCAGGACGAUGGAGGAUCAGAUCAGAACUACGACAUUGUCACCAUCGGAGCGCCAGCAGCACACUGCCAAGGCUUUAAGUCAGGAGGUCUCCGCAAAAAGCUGCACAAAUUUGAAGAGACCAAGAAACAUACGUCGUCCAGCUGCCAGUCCAUCAUCUACAUACCACAGGACAUUGUCAGAGCCAAGGAGAUCAUUGCCCAGAUCAACACCCUGAAAACCCAAGUGAGUUACUACGCAGAGAGGCUCUCGAGGGCGGCCAAGGACAGGUCCGCCACUGGCCUCGAAAGAACACUCGCCAUCUUAGCAGACAAGACCCGGCAGCUGGUCACCGUGUGCGACUGCAAGCUGCUGGCCACCUCCAUCCACGGGCUGAACGCGGCCCGGCCCGACUACAUCGCCUCCAAGGCCUCGCCCACCUCCACUGAGGAGGAGCAGGUGAUGCUGAGGAACGACCAGGACACCCUCACGGCCAGGUGGUCGGGCAGGAACAGCCGGUCUUCCCUGCAGGUGGACUGGCACGAGGAGGAGUGGGAGAAGGUGUGGCUGAACGUGGACAAGAGCCUGGAGUGCAUCAUCCAGCGGGCAGACAAGCUGCUGCAGCGGGAGCGCCUGCAGGCCGAGGGCUGCGACCACAGCCUCCCCGGCACCGGCAGCUGCGCAGGAAGGAAAGAUUGCAGUCCCCCUCCUGAAGAGUCCAGCCCAGGUGAGUGGAGCGAGGCCCUGUACCCCCUGCUGACCACCCUCACGGACUGCGUGGCCAUGAUGAGCGACAAGGCCAAGAAGGCGAUGGUCUUCCUGCUCAUGCAGGACAGCGCGCCCACCAUCGCCACCUUCCUGAGCCUGCAGUACCGCCGCGACGUGGUCUUCUGCCAGACGCUGACGGCGCUGAUCUGUGGCUUCGUCAUCAAGCUGAGGAACUGCCUGCACGACGACGGCUUCUUGCGGCAGCUCUACACCAUCGGGCUGCUCGCCCAGUUUGAGAGCCUGCUGAGCACCUACGGGGAGGAGCUGGCCAUGCUGGAGGACAUGAGUCUUGGGAUCAUGGACUUGAGGAACGUGACCUUCAAAGUCACUCAGGCUACUUCUAAUGCAUCAACCGACAUGCUGCCCGUCAUCACAGGAAAUCGGGAUGGCUUUAACGUGCGGAUCCCCCUGCCGGGCCCCCUGUUUGACGUCCUGCCCCGGGAGAUCCAGAGCGGGAUGCUGCUGCGGGUACAGCCCGUGCUCUUCAACGUGGGCAUCAACGAGCAGCAGACACUGGCCGAAAGGUUUGGCGACACGUCUUUACAAGAAGUUAUCAACGUGGAGAGCUUGGUGCGGUUAAAUUCCUACUUCGAGCAGUUUAAGGAGGUUUUGCCAGAGGAUUGCCUACCUCGAUCUCGGAGCCAGACGUGCCUGCCGGAGCUGCUGCGGUUCCUGGGUCAGAACGUGCACGCCAGGAAGAACAAGAACGUUGACAUUCUCUGGCAAGCUGCUGAGAUCUGCCGCCGCCUCAAUGGGGUGCGGUUCACCAGCUGCAAGAGCGCCAAGGACCGCACGGCCAUGUCGGUGACACUGGAGCAGUGCCUGAUCCUGCAGCACGAGCACGGCAUGGCCCCGCAGGUCUUCACGCAGGCCCUGGAGUGCAUGCGCAGUGAGGGUUGUCGAAGAGAAAAUACAAUGAAGAAUGUUGGAAGUCGCAAAUAUGCGUUUAAUUCCCUGCAGCUGAAGGCUUUCCCCAAGCAUUACAGGCCUCCUGAAGGGACUUACGGAAAAGUUGAAACAUGAACACACGGUUUCCUCUAAUUAGCUGUUAUGUAAUAAAUGUGGGUACCCUCUAGUGUCAUAUAUGAAUUCUUCAAGAAGACCUGAAGGAUUGGUUUUUACUUUUAUGUUUUUAAAACUAUUUCACUAAAGAGUCUAUAGAGCAUGUUUUUUGCGUUGGAAUCCAUAGCAGGUAAUGUUGGGCUCACUAGUGUGGAGAGUUAACAACUGCCCAUUUAAACAGCCUUCAGCCAUAACCACACAGAUAUCAACAGUUACCUGUAUGAAUCAAGCCAGGUGCGUCUGAAAUGCUAAGACUUUCUAAAACGCCCACUUAGGCAGCUGCUCACCUAAGUUAUUUUUCUACUGAGUAACUCAAAAUUGAGCAUUGAUUUACAAUCUACUUUUUAAAAAUCUCCAUGUAAAACAGUAAAUAAUAGUUUAAAUGAUUGGAUCCCGGGCAGACCACUAAAUGUUAAAUGUUAAGGGAAGUUUUGGGGAAAGACGCUCGGUCUGUCUCAUGCGGCCAGGGCGAGUGCUUCUGGUGCAUCAGCCUGCCUGUAACAGCACGGGUGGAACCAGGAGUUGAAGUAAAGGCUGAUAAAUCAGCCUGAGGUAAGACUUACUAGAAGACAAUACCUGCAAAGCCGCCCGCACAGUAGGGGCCACCCCUGUCCCUUAAAGAACAGGGUGUCUGCUCGAGGGCAUGAGGCCAGCCGGCUCCUGUUGCCUUAUGCCCCGUGUGUAGUCCACGGCCCCAGGGCACGUCUCCCCUUCUUCCCCAGGUCAGGACCUCGCACGUGGUAUUGUCUGAUGCCUCUCAGUCAACAAUGGGGGAUUUUGCAUAGAGACAGUGGAAGCCUAAAUAUUUUCAAAAUUGGUGUCCUCUGGUGGGUUUCCCAAUUUUUUGUCUUCUAGAAGACAAUACAAUCAUGUUCGAAUGUCUGAUGAAAGUGUCUUUUAGGUCUGCAAUAAUUGUUACUACUCAUUCUGUUAUGUAAGAUGGCUGUUGAGAAAGUUGAGAUAUCUCCUAAAAUGAGAUUUUGAAAGGGAUUAAUGGACCAUAAAACUUAGGAAUUUCAUAGAAAAUUAUGUCUGGUCAUCUAUUAUAAGAUGAUGAUGAGUCAUCUGCACAUAGCAGAGUUUUUUCUUAGUUUAUAUGUUUUUAUCAAUUGUUUUUAUCAUUAUGUUUACAUGUUAUUUAAAAGGCUGUAAAAGAAAUGUAUGUGGCACAUAUUCAUGAUACUGAUCCUAAUGACUUGUGAACCCUUAGGAAGUUCCUUUACCUAAAAUUCUAAAUGCUAUUCUUUGGGCUCCUCUAGAAAUGCCACUUGGAAACACGUAACAGGCCUGGGCCUGGGGAGCUGAAGCACAGGCAAGACCACCCCUUGGCAGGGACAGAGGGUGGGCAUCAGGUAAGGGUGGAACCAGGUGACCUUUCAGAUCCUUUCCUCCUCAGAAGUCAGUGCACACCUGGAGCCUGCUGUCUCCUGACGCCCACUGGUGAGUGUGAACUGGUGUGGAGGGUGAGUCAGUGAGGGACCCUUGGUGCUCACCAACCCCUGCACAGCUGGGUUCACUGUGGAGGGCGGAGGUGGAGAAACGUGUCCCGCAAGCCCACUGCACAGGUGGCAGCAGGUGGUGUCAGAUUCUCCUGCUGUGUCGAUCCAUGUGCAGAGACAGCUUCCAGUAUGGCUGAUUUAGUCUUUCACCUCCACCAUUUCAUUUAAUUUGUCAUUUUCUAGUAUCUAUAUAUUUCCAUCUUUACUCAUUUUAACAUCAUUUUUUAAAACUCCCUUGUAUUUUUAAUGUUACUCAUACAACUUUCAGAUUUUUUUUUUUUUUUUUGGUCUGAAGAGCAUUACCUGCAUUUACCAAAAGGGAAUAUAGCAAAUGUUGUCAUCUGUUAGCAGUUUUGCAUGUGGCACCUUUAUGUGAGUAUUUUCCUAAUUUUGGCUUCAUGUUGGAUCACCAUAAAAGUCGAAGACUUGGCUAAUCACGUAGAAAAUAUUCAGGUUUCAGUAUUCCACCUGAGCGUUACUCCCCCGCUCCUGUGCGGUAGUCAGUCUCACGGCGGCACUGCACGAUUACAAAGCUCGUUGAGUGGGGGCCACAUUGCCCAUCGUGGUGGCUGCAGGUACCCAGGUCACACGGGAGCUUUGAGUUUUCAGUUGGAGAAGGAAGGCAGUUGUACAGGUUCCCGUAAAAUAGAGGUUCCAUCAAGUGCUCCUUAUAUAAGGCACCCAUUUAAAAAGAAACGUUGAGACACUGAAAGCUCAGAUGUGACGUGGAUUCUGUGAAAGCGUCUGCAGCACAGUUGCCUUUGGUUUCCUUUAAAAACGUACAAAUACAGUAUAAUAAGUUUUGUCCCUACACAAUUGUAUUUGCCAGGCUUAGUGCAUUAAGGUACUUUUAUUUAUUUGUUUUGGACAGUAUUAAUAUAUAUAAACAUAUAGUUACCGUUUUAUAUAUUCUUAGCUCAUUCAAAGCCAUGUAUGCUGUAAAUGUGCUAGUCUUUAGAAUGACAAUAAACAACUAACAAGAUCAUUAAACCUGGUCUGCCUGAUUCAUUCGGAUACAUUAGGAGGACUGGUUCUGUGGCCGGCAUCUGGCUGGACCAUCUGGCUGGACUGCUGGGCAUUGCAUUGAGUGCUCAGUGUUUGUAAACAUGAGACAUUUCUGUUUUAUAAUCCUGUUUUCACUUAGUUGGAAGUAGAGGGCAGUGAGGUGUGGGAUUCAGCUUCAGACAGAUUCGGAUCCCUAUCCUGUUCUGCCUUUCACUGGCUGGUGACUUUGAGCAGCUUGCUUGCCCUCUCUGAGCCUCCCUCCAUGUGCUGAGUAUGAAGUUGCUGCUUUUGCCCUUGGGCCCAGUGCACAUCAGAUUUUGCGUACACGCUGUAAGAGUGAAGUUCCUCCUGUCUCCCCCAGCCCUGUGGAGAUGCUGCAGUUAAGCCUUCAUGGCCAAAUGCUCUGGGAGCUCCUCUUCUCAAAUACAGACCCCCAGGCUGGGGAGCCUGACAUGGGGCUCAGAACUCUCACUCCUGUGGGGGAACCUCUGCCAUAUGAUUACUCUCCAGUUUGGGGGUCACCCACCCCCUCCCAGGGGUAUGGGAUUUGACUGUACUGCGAGUGUGCCCUUCUUACUGCCUCGUUGUGGUUCCUUCUUUACGUCUUUGGUUACAGAAUAUCUUUUUUGGUAGGUUCUUACCUUUUCUUAUCGAUGGCUGUUCAGCAGUUAGUUGUGAUUUUGGUGUGCUCACGAGAGGAGGUGAGCUCAAGGUCCUUCUACUCUGCCAUCUUGUCCCAGGAACCGAGGAAAUUUUAAUCCAGGGUCAUUGUGCUCUCCAGAUCAUCGACCAUGACCCACAAACAAUUCAUCGGGAAUUAUUUUUGGCAUAAGGCACAUGUUGUAGUGUUUGCUACGGUCAGCACGGCUCCCUCCUCUAAGCCAGCCCGAAUGUUGCUCCUUUAAAGAUAUAAGCAAGGGGAGACGUUUCAGGACACUGGCCACCGUCACCGUGCACUUCCUCCUGCCCCUCCUCGAUGCCAUCCUGGGUUUCCGUUCCAGCCUGUUAGUGGGUGACUUGGUUCAACCUGGCUGCUUGGUUCUAGGGGCGGUGACUGCAGAGGUUCUGAUUGGAAGAAGUGAAUAGUAUAUACAACAGACCUCAGUGAAUUUCUGCAACAAGGAUCAGUGCUGAUGUGGAAUUCUCACAACUUCAGGUGAACCUUUAAGAAAGCAAAUGAGCUACAGAAUACCUUGAUUGCUUUAACUCCAGUGACCUGCAGGUCUAUGAAGAAGCUAUGGCUCCUUCCAUUAUUCUUCAAUACUGAAAAAAAAAAACCUGGAAACUUGGAUUCACAUCUGGCUCUACUGUAUUAUGUGACUGGAAUAAAAUUACAUGAUUCUCAACUUUUACAA